rnacentral:rRNA from 1 species
GUUCGCCUCUUUAUCUAGGUCUAUACCCGAACUCUUAUCGAACUCGAGCGUCCUUAUUUAGAUAGCCACACAUACUACUUUUGUGGGAAACAUGGCUUAUACAUCA